rnacentral:rRNA from 1 species
AUUCCAGCUCCAAUAGCGUAUAUUAAAGUUGUUGCAGUUAAAAAGUUCGUAGUUGAAUUUAUGAUAUGGCACGCCUGGUCCGCCCCAUUAGGUGUGCGAGUACCGGCGCGUGCCUAUCAUCCUUCUGCGGACUGCGUCUACCCUUGAUUGGGCCGGGCGUGGGACGUAGAUCGUUUACUUUGAAAAAAUUAGAGUGUUUCAAGCAGGCUUAUGCCUUGAAUACAUUAGCAUGGAAUAAUAAGAUAGGGCUUUGGUUCUAUUUUGUUGGUUUCUAGGACUGAAGUAAUGAUUGAUAGGGAUAGUUGGGGGUGCUAGUAUUGAACGGCCAGAGGUGAAAUUCUUGGAUUCGUUCAAGACUAACUAAUGCGAAAGCAUUCACCAAGGAUGUCUUCAUCG